CAGCCGCCGCGGUAACACGUAGGGUGCAAGCGUUAAUCGGAAUUACUGGGCGUAAAGCGUGCGCAGGCGGUUUUGUAAGACAGAGGUGAAAUCCCCGGGCUCAACCUGGGAACUGCCUUUGUGACUGCAAGGCUAGAGUACGGCAGAGGGGGAUGGAAUUCCGCGUGUAGCAGUGAAAUGCGUAGAUAUGCGGAGGAACACCGAUGGCGAAGGCAAUCCCCUGGGCCUGUACUGACGCUCAUGCACGAAAGCGUGGGGAGCAAACAGGAUUAGAUACCCCUGUAGUCCCUGUCUCUUAUAC
rnacentral:rRNA from 1 species